rnacentral:lncRNA from 1 species
GCUGAUCCCGAAGGCUCUGGGAGUGGGUGAAGCCUUGAUGCCGAUCGGACCCCCGCUGGGACCGGGCGGAGAAAGGCAAGGCAGGUUUCAAAGCCCAUUUCACAGAUUCCCUUCUGGCCUGAUGAGGAGAGAUUAGUUUCAGCCAGGCCACCCAAGAGGCAUCGGCAAAGCCAGAACUAACACCCAGAUUUCCUUCAUUCCAGGGACAGAGGUGGGGAAUCACAGGGCUGCGCUGUAUUAGCCCUCCUAGUACCCUCUCAGUCCGAGGAUUCUCACAUGGGAGGCUACUGGACAGGUCUGUCCACGUACCCAUUUCACAGAUGGAAAAACUGAGGCCUUGUGUGUACCUGGCUGCUGUAGGAGGCUCUCGCACCACCCAGAUCCUCUGAUGCGCUUGUUUGCGGGGUCUCUGUGGACAGGAGAAAAAGGCAAAGGCUGAUUGGGCGCGGUGGCUCACGCCUGUAAUCCCAGCACUUUGGGAUGCCGAGGUGGGCAGAGCAUCUGAGGUCGGGAGUUCGAGACCAACCUGACCAAUAUGGAGAAACCUUGUCUCUACUAAAAAUACAAAAUUAGACGAGCGUGGUGGCGCAUGGCUGUAAUCCCAGCUACUCAGGAGGCUGAGGCAGGAGAAUCGCCUGAACCCGUGGGCGGAGGUCGCGGUGAGCCAAGAUUGUGCCAUUGCACUCCAACCUGGGCAACAAGAGCGAAACUCCCGGCCGGGCGCGGUGGCUGACGCCUGUAAUCCCAGCACUUUGGGAGGCCGAGGCGGGCGGAUCACGAGGUCAGGAGAUCGAGACCAUCCUGGCUAACACGGUGAAACCCCGUCUCUACUAAAAAUACAAAAAAAAAUUAGCCGGGCAUGGUGGCAGACGCCUGUAGUCCCAGCUACUCGGGAGGCUGAGGCAGGAGAAUGGCGUGAACCCGGGAGGAAGAGCUUGCAGUGAGCCGAGAUCGCACCACUACACUCCAGCCUGGGUGACAGAGUGAGACUCCGUCUCAAAAAAAAAAAAAAAAAAAAAAAAGCGAAACUCCCUCUGGAAAAAAAAAAAGAAAAAAGAAAAAGGCAAAGGCUGGAUACCUAGUGUGGGAGAUUUACUGCGAAGCUAAUGGGCGCUUGAAAGGCUGAGUGUGGAGGGGAAGCCAGGUUGCUAUUAGAAUACAUCUCAGAUAAGAAAGACUCAGAGGGCCGGAUGGGGUGGGUCAUGCCUGUAAUCCCAGCACUCUGAGAGGCCAGGGCGGGCGGAUCACCUGAGGUCGGGAGUCCAAGACCAGUCUGACCAACAUGGAGAAACCUCGUCUCUACUAAAAAUACAAAAUUAGCUGGGCGUGGUGGCACAUGCCUGCAAUCCUAGCUACACUUGAACCCGGGAGGCAGAGGUUGUGGUGAACUGAGACCGCGCUAUUGCACUCCAGGCUGGGCAACAAGAGUGAAACUCCGUCUCAAAACAAAAGAAAAACAAAAAAGAAAAGAAAAGGGAAAGGAAAGGAAAGCACUCAGAGAAAGCAAGGAACUUGCCUGAGGUCUCAUGGCUAAUGGAGUGCAGGUCACAACCUGACUCUACCCCAACCCAAGUCCCACCUAACUCGUCCUGCAGAUGCCCCUUGGGUAUCCAGUGACUGUGUCUGGGCUUUACUGUGGACUUGAGGCAUGAUCCUGGGCUGGCUUCUUUCUGGACCUUGGUUUCUGGGUUGUUGGGUUGGUUGGUUGAUUAGAUUAAUUAAUUGACAGUGUCUCACUCUAUCGCCCAAGCUGGAGAGCAGUAGCUCGAUCAUGCCCACUGCAGCCUCCAACUCCUGAGCUCAAGGAAUGGUGCCACUGUGCUAAUUUUUUUAUUUUAGAGAUGGGGUGUCUCACUAUGUUGCUCAGGCUGGUCUGGAACUCCUGGCCUGGAGCGAUCCUCCUGCCUCGGCCUUCCAAAGCUCUGGGAUUAUAGGCGACAGCCAUCGCGCCUAGCCGCGCAGAUAUAACGGGCUAACGUGAUCUGUCUUAAUUAGCCAUCCACAGCCGUCACCGCCGUCCCAUCCCCAGGGACCGCACAGGCCCAGGAGACAAAGGAGGGCGCGGGAGACAGUGGCUGACGGAGCCUUUCUUGCGGGGCGGCCAGAGGAUCGCUGAGCUCAGGGUCUCCCAUCCCACCGGCCCCGCCCCCGGCCUCGGCCCCAGCCCCGGCCCCAGCCUCGGCCUCUGCGGGAUCGUCGGCGAACACGUCCCGGUGCAUGGCGGCGGCGUAGUCGAAGCCAAAGGGGUCGUCCAGGCGCAUCAGCAGCUGGUGCAGGAAGCGCCUGGUUGUGAAGUAGCGCAGGGUCGGCUUCGGGGCGCGCAUAGCGGUGAGGAAGACCUGCGGCGGCGGGAGAGGAGCUCUGGCCCGGGCUGCGCGCAGGACGACGCACCGCCCCCGCUCCCGGAGUCCCGCCCCCCGCUCACCUUCACCACCUCCUCAGGGUGCUGCGCCUCCUCGCGGUAGAUCUCCUUGCUGUGGUGGAGGUAUUAGUGCAAGAGGCGGAAGGUCCGGGUGUUCGUGCGGUCCAUCACCUGGUCGGGACCGCCCAACACCUUCUGCAUGAAGGCGGUGUCCACAGGGCCGCACUCGAUCAGGCUCACGCUGCUGGCCCGAGAGCCGCAAGUGGGCAGGGACGGAGGCGACCCAGGCGCCAAGUCCCAUCUCCUGCCCCAGCACCGGCCCCGACCCCGGCCCUGGCCACGACCCAGAACAGCACCGCUGCGUCCCGAAGGUGGAAAGAGCGCUGGGGAUAACCAGAACAUUUGAAUAGCGGGUUAUUGCUCGACAGCCCUCCCAAACCCAUCUGAGGCUGCCAGGUAGCCCUGGUGUCAGAAUUCGAACCUGGCGGGAUCCCCGGCCGCUGCAUGACCUUGGGCCAGUCACCUAACCUCUCUUGGCUGGAGCUUCCCCAUAACAAUACCAACACUUCAGCAGCCAGGUCAGCAAGUGGCACAAUGCGUGCCAAUGCUCCAGCCUAAGUGCCUGGCACGCAGCAAAUGUAAGCCGGGCAGAGACCAGAGCGGCUUCCGCAGGACAGGGUGCUCGGCAUCUCUAGGUCAGAGUUAAGAGGGUUGAGGAGACGGGGGUGUUGACUCACUGGACCCCAAAGGGCAGCAGCAGAACCGCCAGACUCUCGCAUAAGCCUUCGAGCGCGAACUUGCUGGCGCAAUAAACGUCAUUGAAAGGCAGCCCUUGGGUGGGAAGAUGAGGUUCCUGAGGCGCAGCGGCCAGGGGGUCAUCCCCCGGCAGGCAGUGCCCCUCCAAGCUGAUUGCACCCCACCCCCUAAGGAGCCUGCCUUCAAGGCUCAGCUCUGCACACAAAGAAUCUGGAGCUCCGGGCCCGGUCCCUGCCACUCACCCAUCAAUCCUCCCAUGCUCCCAGUCACCAACACGCGUCCCGAACCCGGCCGCUUCAUGUCUGGCAGGAAGUCCUGCAGCACCCGCACAGUACCUACUACAUUCACAUCCAGUACAGAGGCCACAGCGUCCUCCCCCAGCGGCCCCAGCAGGCCCAGGCCUGUGUCACACACUGCGGGGACAGAGGCCCAACCAGCCCGCCUCAGCAUCACCCUCAGCACGGCCUGUCCCCUCAUGCUCCAGGGGCCUGGGGACAUGUUGGUUUCAACGCAGGGCGGAGAAGGCUCCUAGGAGCCCAUAUGCUUCCAGGAGGCUCACCCAGCACAUCCACACGGCCCUCGGUCACGCGUUCCCGGGCAGCGGCCAGGGAGCUUGAGUUCCUUACAUCCAGCUGCAACCUCUCCAGGGAUCCCUGAGGGCAUGCCAGGGCCCGGGCCGCCUCCCACAGCCGGCCCUGUGUUUUCAGGUCCCUCAACGUGGCAUACACUGGAGGUUUUGGGAGAGGAGGAAGAUCUGACUUCUCUUCUGGCCUCCAAGGGCUUUUCCCUUCUCUCCCUCCCUGUCCCUACCUAUCUAUACCUUUGAAGCUCUGGGAUGGGUCCAAAGCCAGAUGUAUUGCCAAGUGCAGGCCAAUACCUGAGGAACAGCCGGUGAUGAGCACCACGGUGCAGGCCAUGGUGAGACUGUGGGGAGAGGCUGGGGCUCUGGGCUGGAUAUCACCUGCUUCGCCCCGCCCCGCCUGCGGGCCCCCACCCCUUGUUGUGUCUCCCACGCAAUCUCAAGGAUAAGCCCUCCUGCGGGUCCCUGGCCCGCUCUCCCCACCCUGUUCUGAGCCAAAACAGACAUGAGCCCACUGCUUGGAACAACAAACUGUCCUCGUUUCUGGUCAGAGGGAGGGGAGGCUUUACAAGCAGAUGUGGGUUCCCACGUGGGCACAGAGUGGCCCCCUGGGCAGAUUCCCCUGGGUAUGCCUCUGUGCCACAGGAGCGAUUAUAGUGACCGCAGUUUGCUGCAGAGGCUGUGAAAGUAAAGGUGUUGGGAGGUGGGAGAUGAUUGUAUAUGUGUUGGUUUCGUCCAGGGUUCCUAGCUCAUAACUCACAUGACCAUGGUUACAGUCUUUCGUUGUCAUGUUGGGGCGCCUCAGGCCUCAAAAAACAGCCUUUCCUCUCUUUGACCUUCUCCUGUCCUCUUUUCAGCUGCCCAAGGCAGGAUUCUAAUCUGAUUGUGGGUUGUAGGAUCCUCAUUCCAGAGUGGGUCCUUGCCCCAUACCCUGGAGAAAGGAAUGCUGCACAAAGGCCCAAAGAAUCUGGACUGGCCUUGCUGGGCUUAGAUCAGACCCUUUUUGCCCAAUCACAUUAUCACAGUUGUCCAUGCUUCAGUCAUGGACAGCCAAUGGAGUUCUCCAUAAAAGGCCCAAAGGACAGGGUUCGGGAAGCUUCUGAGAGCUGAACGUGUGGAGGCUGACAGAAGGUGAAGAACUCAUCCAUGUGCCUGGAGGGUGAUGUAACCCCAACUCUAUGGAGAUAGAAGCUCCUGCUCUGGGCCCUUCCAGACCGCCCUGUCUGUAUCUCUUCAUAUGGCUGUUUAUUUCUAUCCUUUAAAAUAUCCUUUGAGGUUGGGCACGGUGGCUGAUGCCUGUAAUCCCAGCACUUUGGGAGGCCAAGGCAAGGGGAUUGCUGGAGCUCAGGAGUUCAAGACCAGCCAGGGCAACAGAAUGAGACCCCGUCUUUGCAAAAACUACAAAAAAAUUAGCUGGGUGUGGUGGUGUAUGCUUAGAGUCCCAGCCACUUGCGGGGUGGGGCGCUGAGGCGUGGGGUUUGGGGGGAUGGAGGCUGUAGUGAGCCGAGAUCAUGCCACUGCACUCCAGCCUGGGUGACGGAGCCAGAUCCUGCCACUGCAGUCAUUCUGGAUGACAGAGUGAGACCCUGUCUCAAAAAAGAAAGAAAAAAAUUUUUUUCCUCUGUAAUAAAGCAAUAAACAUAAUAAGGGUUUCCCUGUGUUUCGUGGGUCACUGUCGCAAAUGAGUUGACUCCAAAGAGGGGAAGGGGGUCAUGGGAACUCCAACUUGAAGCCAGUUAGUCAGAAGUUCCAGGGAUCAGGACUUGUAACCGUUGGGAAGGAGGGGGUGGUCUCAUGGAUCUGCACCCUAACCCUGUGGGAUCUGAUGCUGUCUCUGGUUGAUUACAUUGGAACUGAAUUGGAGGACACCCAGCUGAUGUCUGCUGCUUGGUGUGUGUGGGGAAAAUCCUCCAAAUAUUUGGUCACAGAAGUCUUCUGUGUUGGUGACUGUUGCUGUGGCAUGCCAGCAAAGGACAAACAUGGUUUGAAAAGAGGUUUUCCUGCAACAGAAGGGCAUUCUACGUUCAAAGGUCAGGGUAACAUUAGUGUUAAAAAGAGAGACGUGGCCGGGCACGGUGGCUCACUCCUGUAAUCCCAGCACUUUGGAAGGCCGAGGCAGGUGGAUCACUUGAGUUCAGGAGUUAAAGACCAGCCUGGCCAACAUGGUGAAACCUUAUCUCUAUGAAAAAUACAAAAAUUAGCCGGGCGUGAUGGCACAGGCCCGUAGUCCUAACUCCCUGGUAGACUGAGGCAGGAGAAUUGCUUGAACCCGGGAGGCAGAGGUUGCAGUAAACCAAUAUGGUGCCACUAAACUCCAACCUGGGCGACAGAGCAAGACUCCAUCUUGGAAAAAAAAAAAUUAGCCUGGCGUGGUGGUGCAUGCCUAUAGUCCCAGCUACCGGGGAGGCUGAGGCACAAGAAUUGCUUGAACCCAGGAGGCGGAGGUUGCAGUGAGCCGAGACUGUGCCAUUGUACUCAAGCCUGGGCAACAGACCAAGGCUCCGUCACAAACAAACAAACAAACAAAAACAGGGACGUGAGGCAAG